CGUAUUUCGUCGUUCGUCGCCGUCGUCGCCGCCUUCGUGUUUCUCGUCUUGUGCGUCUCUGUUCGAAUAUAAUCGUAAAAAAAAAAAAAUAAUCAAGUUUAUCAAGUGCGAUAAAUUUCACCUCGGGUCGUCCGCGAGAGUUGUAGUGAGUUGCGAGUGAGUGGUUUUUUUUUUCUCUCUUUCGCGCCGUCCGCGAGAUUGAAUACUGUCACGAUGACCGGACCGCAGCCGCCGCCGUCGACGUGUUUCGCCGGACUCUGAUCGAAAACUGUCCCGUCGGCCGGGUACGCCAGCUGUAAAAAUCCGGUUCGUAUUUCGUGAUUAACCCUUCCGACCUAACCGUCCGUUAUAUGACCGCUCCGUGACGGCGAAAAAAUACCGAUUUCCUCGGAUUUACCGGGCGGGGUUGUCGUCGUUUCUGGAGAGAACGAAAAAAAUUUAAAUUAAUUUUUCAAAAGGUACAAAAAAAAAAAAAUCGAAUCACUCGCACAAUUGUUUUCGCGAAACUUUCGCUCGGGAGUCUACGCGCGUUACUAUAGUAUAGGUACGGAACGCCUCGCGUAGAAUAAUUGACGGUUUCCGAUCGGGAGGGGGGGGUUUUUUUUUCCCGUCCCCGAGUCGAAAAAAGCUCAGACGAUGUCGCGUGUACCGGACGUCGAUUUUCGAAAAUGAAAUUAUUUCACACACCGAUCGAUAAACGAUUAACGGCAGAACACAACUUUACGAAUACGGGUUCGAGUGUACGAAAAAUAUGAAAACCGCACACGCUCGCUCGCUGUGAAAACUUUGCGCGCAUAAAAAAAACAUGAAAAGUAUAACGUUCCGAUACCCAAUAUAACGUACAAGCGAUCGUGUUUUUUUUUUUUUUUUUUUUUUUUUUCCGUAAUCGUUUUAAAAUAUCUACAUCGAAACGACAAGAGAUGAUUUCCACGACAGUGCUAUAGGUGAACAUUAACGGUUAACGAGGCGAAAGUGUAAUUUUAAUAACCGGCGGCUAUUUUCGUUAAAGGUAAAAAAAAAAAAAAAAAAACAACACAAUUUUCUUCAUUACCUACACAAUGAAACUAAGCACGUCCGGACCUCAUUAAGACCGCGGGACCGACGCGUCGCUUCACAAUUUAUUCAUUUACUGAACCGCGUUGUUAAAAUCGUUUUUAAACGUUUCGCGCAUUAUUUCCAAUCGACUGCAUAAAAUUGAACACGAUUUAUUAUCAUCGGUUAGACGAUCCAAUUGUCUUUGCCGGCCAACUCGUUUCUCAUUUGUCCGAAUUAGAUCAAAAGACGAUAGGCCCGUGGCCGCAGAUAAAACACGUCGCUCGGCGACCAGCGAGUGUACUUGUAUUACCGAAAUUCGGCCUUUUUAUUACGAAACGUUUUGCCGGACGGGCCGGCGCGCCGCCCGAAAGAUUUCUGAACUGCUGCUGCCGUCAUAUGCAAAAACGCCGUAAGCCGUUGGACAUCGUUUUUUGCGAAAAACGGGUUUGUAUGUUUUGGACUUUUUAAAAUUCGUCACACCACUUACGUUUUACCUACCAAACGUACGGUGCGGAUUUCCAUGUGAUAUUUCACCUGACAAAUGCGACGACAUGAACAUAGAUAAAUUCUGAAGUGCUCGACUAUUUACAACUGUUCCCAUAGUAUUGGUGUUCAGAACUGUACCGAAUGGACUCGUGAAUAGAAUCCGUUAAAAACAACCGACGAAUAACCGACAUUGUAUCGUUCUGUAAAGUUUCCAUAUUAUUAUAUUUUGACGAUUUGUCGGUUGCAAUGUUGCGAUAAGUAAAAGCACAAUCCGCGUUCAGCAUGAACGCCGCAAAUUAUUAUUUUUAUUAAACACUGAGCGAAAAUUCCGGAUCUUCGUUAAUAUAUACGGCGUUUUUACAUGGUAAAAAUGUAUUUUUCGACCAUUUGCGGCAUUCCGUCAAAACCAAUAUCGCUAAUAGUCGUUUUCUAAAAUAACGUUUCAGACGUAUGACGGCGUAUUGAUACAAGACGUCUGAAUUUUCUUUGAUGUAAAUAACUCAAACAAUAAAUGUAUACAAAUGUACAUUUUGAUGUAAAUAAUUCGUUUUUCAAUUGUUUCGGACUCGCGGCGUUUUUGCUUAGGACAACAGGAUACUAACCGUAUAAUAAAGACAGGUAUAGUUUGUUUUUAUCUUUUUUUUUUUAAUUUUUUAAUCGCAUGCAAAAACGAUUGGCGUCUUAUUGGCCCGCGGGGAAAACGAACGUUUCGAUAUUAUGUCUUAAUCGACGGGAAAAAUUCUCAACUCGUGUAAUUAGACGAGACUGCGCUGUCGUAAAAGAAAAAAAAAAUAUGCGAUAAUUCGGGAACGCCGGAUCACAUCUGUGACCGCAUCUGUUCGCGACGACCGUAAAACGAUUCUCAGCCGAAGCCGCGGCGAAACGCGCGUUUUGACAUUUCGCGAUUCUCGCGAGGUCAAUUCAAUAUACUCGUGUAAAACAAUAUCAAGCACGUAUGACGGCGGUUCUGUAAAAAUAUCGAUUCGUUAUAAUAGAAAGAAAAAAAAUAAUAAUAAUAACCACGCGCACUCCACGGAGCGUUCCCGAGUUUCGUGUCGGCGUUAGGUACACGCACCGGUUUCGGUUUCGCGAACUGUAAUACCAUAUCGUCAAGUAUAAGUGCCGCAAAGUCAACAUUACAAAACGCCGACGUAGACAAAUAUUAGUUUGAUACAAUGUAUUAUAGGAGAGCGGCCGACGAUUGUUUAAAACGAGACGAGAACCGAUACGCGACAGCGGGGCUCGUGAAGUUUUUACGUCGAGCUCUUUCUCGCGGCGUGUUAAAAACCGGAAACGCAUUUUCCACGAGCCGUAACGUUUGUAAAUUCGGAAUUUAUUUUCGAAUACGGUGUUUAGAAAAAAACGCACGACAAAUUCUGCAGUAUGUCGCGCGUAAAUGCGAACGGUUUCGGUUUGUAGAAAUCGUCGCCGGCCGGAAAAAAAAAACGAUCGGUACGCGACCGAUUUUAAAAUAAUCCGAAUAAGAAAUGCGCACGGGAAAAAUUACUACUGAAUUUUGUUCGCACGAAGCGAACGAAUUUAUGAUCGGAAAAUAUUGCCAACCGCGCGGAAUAUCUAAAAAAUAUUUGCUGCAUAAAGCGCACUUAUCGAAAUCUGUCUGUCUGUUUGGAAAACGGAUUCCAACGUUUUGAACGUUGUCUUGACCACUCGGUGUUACGGCUCGUUGGAAAUUGAUUACGAAAAAUGUACAAUAUGACAAGAAUCGGACAAUAAUAUAAUUUCCAUUUUUCCAACCCUCUCCCCUGUUGCAUUGUUUUUAGUUAUUGUUGUACCUUUCCCCUAUAUUAUAUAGAGCGUACCGCACUUUCGUUAUUGGUUUUCUAUAUUAAGUUUCGCCGUCCUCGAUUUUCCGCCACUCGACUUUCGACACGUUUUAAUUCGUCGACCAUUUUAUAAUAACAUAACAUAUACGUUUUUUUUUUUUUUUUUUUUUUUUUAACGUAAGUACCUUGUAUUUAUUUGUUAGGAUUUCCAUUCAUUUCUCCACGUAAUACGUCCAAGUUUACAAUAAAAAACUUAACACUGUAUAGUAUAAAAUUGCACCGUUGAAUGUAUAAAUAACUGCUCUGUACCUAUAUAACAACAUAAUAAUCCAUUCAUUUUUCCGACAAUGCAUUCUGCAAUGUAAAGAACAUGGAAUUUUAGCAUUUUUUUUUUUUUCGUUUUCGACUGUAAUAAUAAUAGUUGAUUGUAGCGCGUAGGAUUUUCAAUGGAAUAACCAAAAAAAAAAAAUAUACAUAUAUAUAUACGAAACCGCAUCGUGUAGGAAUCCGUGCGCGUAUAAAAAAAAAACAAACACAUAAUAUACGAAAUAUCGAUUUAUAAAGCGAAUUUCGUGACGGACCGUGCGAUAAUCGUAGGCAUAUUAUGUUUAUUCGCGAACAAAUUGUUGUUUUUUUAUUAUUUUAUUAUUUUUUAUGUCACGUUAGAAAAUCGCGCGUUGAUAUUUUUUCCGGCAUGAUGAUGUAUGCACGCUACAAGAUGUGAAUUCAGAACGGAAUUAGAUUGACAAUUUAUUAAGAGGACGCUACACACGAUGCAUUCAUCGUCUACGUCCUAAAAAAAAUCGGCACAGCCAAAUUUCGCGGUAGAACCGAUUCUCCGCUGAUAGUUUUAAAAUUAGAGUGAAUUGAUUUACAUCGAAUCAAUCAGGGAAGAAUAUUAUCCGUAUGGUUUUUCUUUAUUUUAAUUUUUAAGAGGGAUAAAUACAUUUUUAUAUUGUGAUAUUCACACAGCCAUAUUUCGCUUAAAAAUUUAAACAAUGAAAAGAAACCAAUGGAUGAACACAGCCGACAAUGUACUCGCCUUUAAGUUUGAAGUCAAUUCAUUAUAAUAUUAAAACUAACAGCACAACAAAAUUUGCUUUGCCGAGCGCAAAUCUUUUAUGAUAUGCGUUCAGCAGGGACAACUCUAUGCUGUCAGUUUUAAUAUUACAGUGAGUUCACUUAUUAUCAAACACGAAGAUAAGAACAUUAUCCGUGUCGUGUUGUCGUUUGUUUUUUCAGCGCCCAAGUUUUAAAACGAAAUUUGAGCGCGUGAAACAUGCCGAUUCGAAAAUGCUUACAUCUCGCUCAAAAAUUAAACAACGAGCGAAAAGACCGACGGCACGACAUAUGUAGCUAAUGUUCUUAUCCUUAAGUAUAAUAAUAGGUCAAUUCGCUUUAAUAUUACAACAAACAGCACAGAAUUGUCCCGGCUGGACUCGAAAAUUGUCUACACGCGUCGUGUGACGGAGACAGCACAUAAUGCGGGUAUGGCGACCUCUUAACAUUGAACAGUUUGUACCCGAAUUUCCGACCCUACGUAUCACUAUAAUACAGUAUACGUUUAUAAAAUACUGCUGUGUGAAAAUCGUUUGUUUUUUUUUUUCUACCGAUAACGAGGUACUUUGACGGUUUAUAAUAUUACGCAGCCGCAGCUGAUGAUCAAUUUUCCGUAAGACGUUCGUAACGAUAAUUUCAUUGAAAAUAUUAUUAUUUUGUUUUUUAUAGUUUUCUUUCUAUACAUUUCGGACACACACUGCACGCAGUCCUAAAACGUUCAGUUUCUAUACGCCCUUAAAUAUGUUUUGUUGCGGUGAGACUUUAGUGCCUUAUAUACUUAGACUUAUUUUGAUUUUCAAAUAGCGACCUCUAUAUUAUUGUAAUAUAUUGAAAAUACCAAAUAACGAUUAAGUUAUUCAGUUAUAGAAGUGAUAUUAGAACGUUCCCAUAAAAUCCGUCCGUAUACCCACUGCGCAAUAAUUUAUUAAUAUUUCGAAUAAAAAUAAUUGACAAUAAGGAAUCAAGAACAUUUCGCAGAUUAUAAAACGUAUGUAUCAUGAAUGCAAUUCGUAAUCUAGUGAUAAUAUCUACGAAUGCUGCCUCAUCAAAUGUAUACGAGUAAACGCUGCUUAUUUCAUUAGUUGAUGUACAGGUAGGCGUAGCUCGAUAGGUUAGGAAACGUUAGGAGUCGACUAGUCACGAGUUCGAACCUGGCCGGAACGCUAGAAUUGUUUUGCGUUUUUGUGGAUUUUUUUUCGGAUGAAUUUUUAAACGGUCAACCAGUACAUUUUUUCGGUUCAAAUAAGUUUUAUGCGGUGUAAUUAAUAUGCAUUAAAACGGCCAUAGAGUUCAAUGAUAUCUAAUCAUUCGUUAUUACCAUAAAGUAUUGAAAGUACAACAUUCAUUAAAUGUUUAAAAUAAAUAAAUAAUAUUUUCUAUUUUCGUUGUUACGAAAUUGGUCAGAAAUACUUGUGUGAAGUUUGCAAAAACUAAACAAGUCAAUGUUAUUAAAUUUUCGAACAAUAAUAUUAUUAUUUAUAAUGUAAAACAGUAUCGUAAAGUUGCUAUUAUUUAUUUUAAAACGAUAGAUUUUCAAAAACUAUCCCGAAGGUAGUCAAUAGUAGAUGUAGUUGCGCAAAGUAUACUGAUAAGUAAUUGCAUUUAUAGCGAAUUUUAAUUGCUUUGUUUUAUUUUUAUUUUUUAAUCGUCCGCGCACUCAGAAUAGCACAAAACUAUGGGCAGUAAACGAUUUGCAAACAAAAAUACAUAUAGUAGUUGGCGGUGACUGGAGAGUAGUGGAUCAUCAUUUGUGUGACGGCUCAGCGUGAUGCGUUUGUGAAUAGUACUCCAUUACUUUACUGCUAUCCAAACUUAAAAGUGAAAUAUCUCGUCAACGGGUAAAAGGAAAUCAAAAAUAUCGACUCGACAAUGUAUUUGAACUCCGUGAAUUUACGGAAUUUAUAUUAUCGACUGCCGUUUGAAAACCAAAAGUAGGUAGUCGUCUCACUUCUAAAAUUAAAGGCUACGAAAAACGUUUGUAAUGUAACGUUUUAUAUAGCUGCUGGUUAUUUUUUUUUUAAAUUACUGUGAAAAAUAAAUUCCAAAAAAAGUUAAUACAUUCCAAGAUAUCGAAACGGGCAUACAUCUUCGUGGAGCAUCCCGUAUAGUGCAAUUGCCUUGCUUUACCGCAGGGGUGUACAAAAAAAAAAAAAUAAAUAAAAAAACACACAUACUUUUCUCCCUCAACAACAUGGUGGAAUUCAACGAAAAUUGUUUCACUUAAAUAGGCCUACGGAACAACUCUAAUUCUGUUUUUGAGCUCAUUCGGUCCUGAGGGAGCCACUAAAAGUAUCCAAAAGUAGCGGGGAUAAGAUGUGUAAUAGACCUGUAAUAUAGCGCAACCAUCUCUAUUUUCGUGGAAAAUUCGGCCGAAAAAACCGGGGGGUAAAAAACCUUUACACACCGUCGUAAAACCAACCGUCCGAGAUACAUUCAAUAUUUCAGGUCACAUACAUUGUACGCUGAACGAAGGAUAGUUUUUCGUUAUAAUCGUAAAUUAUUGAUAUUCGACGCGAGGUUAUACUCUCGUUUUGAGAUUAUAUUUUCGUGUCCGGCUUCUGAAAAAAAAAUAAAAAUUAUAUAUUUUAUUAUUAAUUAGACGUAUACAGACGGACGGAAAAUAAAUUAUAAAUUAUAAUUACAUAAUUACCUACCUGAUCAAAAGCGUGAUAAACUAUUGAAGAACAGAGAGAGUCAAUAUAGGUAAUUAUCGAAACAUUUAAACGGCCGUUUAAUUUGACAUCAAAGUUUUGUGAAUAUUAUUUUAAUAAUUUUUUUUUUUAAACAAAUAUUGAAGUCAAAUCUAAAGUACCUUUUUUUUAAGGAACGUUAAAUUUUUGUAGUUAAUUCUUUAUAAUAUUUAUACGCAAGCCAAUGAUCGACAGAAUCAUGGAUUUUCGAUAUUUUAAGUUGGUAUUAAGCGCGGCGAUCAAGGGCGUCCGUAGGGACCGUGCCCUCCCCCACGACAUCAAACUAUCUAUUAAUAAUAAUUACUUUCAAAAAUCUGUGUAGAAUUUCAGAGUGUUAACGAAUUAUAAUCACGGCCUCUGUAGAUAGUUGUGCUAUAACAUUAAGCGGCCAGUGGUCACAUUAGUUAAAUGUAUAAUUUUCAUGAUCUAACAAAAGGAUGUUGCCCCCCCUUUCUAGAAUACUAAUCAAUUCCGCCACUGGUUGGUAUACAAAUAUGUUAUAAUUGUAAUGUUGAUAAUCCGUUUGAACCUCGGAUAAUACGAAAACAACUAUUGAUAGACCUGGUGUUGUUAAUGCCAACAGAACGGCUGACUCUUCCCAUCGAGGAGCGCAGCGUUUACAUUUUGUUUGUUGUUAAGAACCGAUUUGAUAGAUAUCAAAUUUAAAAAUAAAAUGUUUAUUACUAUCUACAUAUUAAAAUUGAUGAAAAGCCACAGUGAAACAUAUGAAAAUAAAUUAGUAAUACUUACCAGAACCGUUUAGCAGUACAUUUUCCAAGCACAGUGUCGACUUCGUAUCGGGUUAUCGGUAUCGUUGACCGACACUAACAGAGUUUGAUCAAUUUCCCGUUUUACAUUUCAAUAACACGAAUAAAUUCGAACAGUAUACAAAACAAUAUUAAUUAAAUUCGGCUUUUAUCACGAAACAAAACGUAAACGUGGACCUUUUUAAUAAGAAAAGUCGGUCAUUUUGUCGACUUCAACGUUCUACACUAAAUGGUAUUGAUGAGGGGAGAGGAUGGGAGGCAGCUAACUAGUUGUUUAUAUAACUGUGGUUAAAAACAUAAACAAAACAAGCACAACUUUCUUUUUGAUAGAAACGCGAAUAUUUGUGCGAGUUCGGAGGGAUGAAAAUAUUGUCGACAAUUUGCACUGUGUACAUUAGGUCUCUAUAUACAUUUUUACGCUUAUAAUUAUUAUAUUUCUAAACGAUUUUGACGUACAGAAAAAAAAAAAAAAAAUGGAAAACCCGCUAUAAAUCAAUUAUUUCUGAAACGUAUCCAACAAUAUAAUGACAUUUUAUUUUUUUACCGCAAGGUAAUAUAUUAUUUAUUGUGUACGACGAGGUGUGUUUCGAAAACGAGUAUACGUCUUUAUUACGCGUAUUUUGGUAAGUUUUGACAAAUGGAUUGGUUCGGAGGACGGCGGCGGCGUUAUUAUUACCUAUAUUUAUUAUUGUUUCGUUGUAUUUUUUUUUUUUUCUUAUCGAUUCGGACGGCGUUUUUUUCAUCAAAGAAAACGUUUUCACGGCGUUUGAGGGGGAGGGGAGAGAAAGAAGGCCUCCGAGAAGGGUUUACGUUUUUUUCGAAAAGAAAUGUUUUAAUAUUAUUUCGAACUUUGAAAACAAAAUUUCCGUUCUCCCUUCCCCCGAGUCUGAAUAGUUACAACCUUGUCGCCCGCAGCGGUGACGGUAUUUGUUACGCUUGUUCAACGAGGUCGUCCAAUUUUUUAUAAACGAAAUAGUAUACGGUGUUUUUUUUUUUUAAUUGGACAUUAAUUGCCAAUAUCUCAAUUAAUCGAACAUUUUCACUAGUGAACAAUUUUACAUCAAUAUUAUUUUUAUGAAUUUAGUUUGAUUUUGGCAAGCAAUUUGAGUAAAAUAUUUUUUAGGAGGUAUGGAAUUUCGAAAAAAAUAUUCUUGGAUUUUUAAAUUGUUCGUGGUGUGAUAUUUUUUAUUUUCGUUAUCACUUAUAAACGUUCGACGUUUUCGAUACUUAUAUACAUUACUAGUUUAUCGUCAUAAGUUUUUAUACCGAUUUCAAAAUGCAUUCGUUCACCCUUUUCUGUCAACACCCUUCAAAUCAUGUCAACGCAAUACUCUAACAUCUGUUUACCGAACGGUUAAAAAACGACCUACGAAAUCCGUAUGUCGGGCAAUUAAUUAUUAAUUAAUAAUACGUUUGUAGUUGUAGUUGAAGGCGUUUUUUCCCUCCAGCAUUGAAUGCCCGACAUAAUAAUAGCAAUAUUACUAAACUCGAUCGGUUUUUUGAAUAUGAACAAAAUAUCGCGUAAAACAGUGUUAACGGAGAACGAGUGCUCGUGUAAAAUUAUUAUUUUUUUCGUGCGGGUAAUAUGACAGAAAUCCGUAUUAUCCGAAAAUCCGGAUGGUGAAUUUUUUAUAUCAAAAUUUUCUUCCGGAUUCCGGAAAUCCAGUGUAACCGUUGAUUUUGACUACCCAACGAUUUGUACGGGAAAAGUCGAACAUUUUUUCCGAAUUCAACUACCGUUUUUUUCGACUCCUUGAUGGAAAAUCGAUAGCUCUUGGUCUAUUUCGACUAUUUUCUUUUUACAAUUUUCCCUAACGCUCACUAAUUUUGUUCUACACAUUUUUUUACUAUUUUUACAAUUUUAAUUAAAUAGUUGAUUACCUUGCAUAUUUGUUUUUAUUGACGAAAAUAAAAUAUAACAUAGAUAGGUACUAUUGUAAUUAAUUUUAAUUAAAAAUUACAUGUUUAUAUGACUUUAAAAAUGUUUUUUAUUACUAAAUAAAUAUAUUAUUAUGAUUUAUGAGACCUUUCUUUGAUACGAUUAUUAUAAUAAGUCGUAUUUUUACGAUAGGUACUAUUUGAGUUAUUUUUUUUUCUGUUACAGUUUUAAUGUGUCAAUUUAAUACCUGUACAAAGACGGUAAUUUGUCCCAUGUAUUUCUCAUUCUGACUUAGAUUCAGAGAAUGGAUUGAUUUUACAACGAUGUUUAUUUUAUUUUAUCUUUUUCUGUGAACACCUUUUCUGCCAGUAGUUUUGCUCCGAUUAUCAAGUGUAGUACAUUUUUUGAAAGGGAAUUUUUUAAGGGUGGUAACUUAAGCACACUAUUUUUUAAUUUUCUUAGUCAUUUUCAUAACAAUUAGAAAAAAUCAAGAAAAAACAUUGGUAAAACGGGAAAAGUACAUACAUAAAUGAAACUUUUCUCGGAAUGGGUUUUUUUGUCGGCAAUAAUAGCGAUCCCCCACCUAUGAGCAUUAUCGUACCUAAGGCUUUUUGUAUAAUGUAUGCAUAUAUAUAAUGUCUUUAAUUUUAGGUUUUUAAAUAUUUUUUUUACAAAUUUUGAUAUUUAAUUACCUAGUUAUUAAUUUCUAAAACAAUUGUUCUUUAUUUACCUGAAUAAAUUAUGCAAAUUAUAAAACAAAUCGAAAUUAUUAUUAAUGCAUAAUAAAAAAGAAACUGGCAAAAUUACUGGUAAAAAAGGUGUUCACAGAAAAAGACAAAAUAUAAUAAACAUCACUGUAAUAUCAAUACAUUCUCUGAAUUAAGUCAGAAUAAGAAAUACAUGGAACAAAUUACCGUAUUUUUACAGGGACUAAAUUGACACAUUAAAACUGCAACAGAAAACAUGUAGUAUUUAAUUAAAAUUAAUUACAAUAGUACUAACCUAUGUGGUAUUUUAUUCUCGCUAAUAAAAAAAAUAUACAAGGUAAUCGACUAUUUAAUUAAAAUAGUAAAAAUAGAAAAAAAAUUAGAAAUGUAUAGAACAAAAUCAGUGAGCGUUUAGGAAAAUUAUAAGAAGAAAAUAGUCGAAAAAAACCAAAAGAUAUCGACUUUCCGCCGGGGAGCCGAAAAAAACGGAAGUAGAAUUCGGACAAAAUUUUCGACUCCCCUACGAAAUCGACUCUCCCAGUACAAAUUGUUACGUAGUCGAAAUCUACGGACACACCGGGUUAUCGAACCUCGAAAAGUCAGGAUUUUUCUCAUGACUUAUAGAAAUAUUAUAAUCGUCGUGACCCGGAACAAUGUCUGCUAAACGUCGGUAUUUUUCGGACGUGAUAUAAUUUCCAAACUAAUUCGUUUCCGCUCGAGUUAUUUUUGUAUUUAAACAGAAUAAAAUAUUGUCAAAUAAUAUUUUUUCAGCUUUCCCCCACCCCUUUUUUUUCGACCAAACAUUCGAAAUCGUAUUACGCAAUACGUCCGUAGUCGUGCAUUUUCCUUUUCCCUAUAUUAUAAUAUCGCGGCAGUGUUAUGACGACAAUAAUAUUACAUACAAAUGCAUUUUUUCGCCCUUUUCUGUCAACGGCACCCUCUGAAAUCACGUCAACGGAAUAAUAUAACAUCUGUUUACCGGCCACCGUCGCGCUUGUCGAAAUCCAUAUGCCGGACUCGAGAUUCUAUUAUGGGCGUACACAGUACGCGCGUAUAAAAAAAAUAUUAUUAAUUAGUAGUUGUCGUCGACGGUUUUUUUGUAAAAAAAAUGUUUUCAUUUAGCACACCGGGAUGAAAAGACGUAAACCAUGGCCUUUGACAAAAAUUAACGGAGGGCCGCGUUCGAAUUAAAUAAAUUCGCCGACUUCGGCAAACCUAUCGCGUGUACCGGUACCGUCGAAAAAUAUUUUUGUUUCCUGCAUUAUUUUGUUUGUCGAUGAACAAUUGUUGUUAGGAAACAAGAUUGUCGGCGGUACGUUAGAUAUCUAUAUUUUGUGUCUUGCACGGGGUGUUUCAUAUCUUUCGGAUGGUUUGUCGGUAUCCACCGCAGUGUUUAUAGAGAAAUAGAAAUCAAUUACACAAAAAUGAUCGGAAAAACGCGGCACUCGUUCGAAAAAUGACAAGAACCGUUUUCCGAAACACGGCCCGGUCGCAUAUUAACAUACUAUUAGUACCAUAGUAUACUGCACACGGUUUACCGAUGUGGUUUUGCGCAAACAAAUCGCCGGGUUUGUUUUCGAUUAAUUUCUUUCGUCCGUCCUCAUCCGUUCCACUUCGCCGAGCAUUUAUGCGAUUGCAAAUGUUACAAAUUUAAUUCACGGCGAAGAAAUUACGCUUUCGGACCGUUAUAAUUAAUCCUUAUCAUUAUUUGUCUUUAUCGUUAACUACCGUUUAUCCACCACACGCGAGCGGUUCACGGUUCGCGGACCGUGCAUAUUCGUCGAGUUUUUUUUUUGUAUUUAAAAAUUCGUCGGUCCCUUUGGUUUUUUUUUUUGGUGAUUGAUCGUCCGAUCUUUCGCGAACGGUUCCGGGCCGAUUUCGGACCUCGAACCGCGAACACCGAAUAACAAUCAUAACCGUAUAACCGUCGUUAUUGUUGCGUCGCGUCCGAUCGUAGGCGCAAAUAGGGGAGGGUCUCCGGGGCGACUUGUCCUUUCCCGAAAAUCCGACCUCCCGCCCGACGAAGCCUGACCGAUGCGUUACGGUGCGUUAAGUCCCCCACCCGCCGAAAAAAAAACCAUUUAUACCGGCAAUUCACGCCGUUCGAUUUUCGUUUGGGAAACGAAAUUCGUAUAAUAAUGUUAUUAACCGCCGUUUCGGGAUUUUUGACGCGCGGACCCACCCGUUCGGUCCGCGCGCCUUUACCGCCGCGUUCGCGUAUUAUUAUUCGAUCGCACCGCGGCGACGGCGAUUAUUGCGCGCGAAUAAUGGCCGCGACCCCACCGGUGUGGCCGUCGUUGUUAGCGGACGACAACAGCAAUAAUAAUAAUAAUAAUAAUAAUACAAAACGACAAGUACGCCGGGCCCGUAACCGCAUCUCUAGCGGAACCGCGAGGGGGGGGGGGGGGGGGGGCAAANNNNNNNNNNNNNNNNNNNNNNNNNNNNNNNAAAAAAAAAAAAAAAAAAAAAAAAAAAACGAGCGUUGCGAAAUAAUAAUAAUAUAAGAAUAAUGCGAUUACAAAUAGCGUACGUCGGUCGUACGCGAUAACGCGCGGACGAUUUUUUUUUUUCCCCCCGGGCGAAAUCCGAACGGAUUGCAGUAUUUUCGGCCGUCGACUACGCGGUCCGUUCGCGACGGUCCGUACCUGACGUAGGUGUCCAGGGCCACCGUUCGAAAAUAAUACGCGGGAUUUUUUUAUCGUCCUAGGUGCAGGCGCGGGGGAGUAGUGUUGAUUUGUACGCUCUGACACGCGGCAAAACGACUCGCGAUAGAACGUACAAAAUAUUAACACUGCUUUUGCAUAUAUUUAAAAUAAGAGAUAAAAACAGACGGACGUACUUCGCACGUGGGCGCAGCCACUGUUGUAGGCGGGAAGUUGAAAAUCUAAAUAGGAAACGGACGGGAAUUUAAUAGUUAAUUAUCUGCGAGUCAGCAACGAUAUUCAGUUGCUAACGGAUAUACGAUUCUGAUCGGAGUUCAUUUGAUAGUGUUGCUUUAUCAACAAUUUAUAACAUGUCAUAUUAUAUGAAAUAAUGAUAUCAACAAUGUGCGUGUCCGUGGCAACAAUGAUUGUUUGAAAAAAAAAAAAAUAAUAAAAACUUAACAAUAACAAUAAAUAAAUAAAAACGGUUGCCAAUGACAACCUUAUUUUUAAUUUGGGAAUCUUUUUUAACCUAAAGAACCAGGUGUUCUCAUUAUCUCGAAUAUUAACGACCUGUUUAAAAGUACCACCCAGGGAACAUUUCCUUUUAGAAAAGGUGCUAUACUUGAUAAUCGGAGUAAGCUUAUUGGUAGAAAAAGUGUUCACAUAAAAAAAAAAUAACAAAAAAAUAAACAUCAUUGUAAAACUAAUACAUUCUUCGCUCCUCUCACAUAUUAUUUUUAUACACAGAGUGAUAAAUCUAUCGUAAAACUCUCAUUAUCUCAGAAAACAUUAACUUUUUUCAGAAUUUCGUUUACAGAAUCAAGAAGUUCUACAAUUAUAUAUUUAUGUUAUUUUUUUAUCAUUCUUAUUGUCGAAGGUAAAUCCACUAUUUUCUUUUGAUUUAUUUUUUAACGGAAACCUAGAUAUAUUAGGAUUCCACGGACAGGUAGAUGAAGUAUUAGUUAAAAUACAUUUUGGCGUUGGCAUUUUUGAUUUCCGUCAUUCCGUUGACGAUAUUUUUCACUUUUCAGUUUGGGUCGGGGGAGAGUAGUGACAGAUUGAUCACCCUGUACAUGCAAUAUGAUUAUCGUGUGUAGACAAAGUGUAUUAUUCGUAACCAUUUUCACAGGUACAUGAAGUCAGGUUGAGCCGAUUUAGUCAAUUUGUAUCCCGGCGUUUUUUUGCUUGUAUACCAAACGCUCACUGGUUUUAGGCAGAUAUUCUCUAAGUAUUUUUAAAAUACAAUAAUACAUUUUAUCCUACAACAAUAAUAAAAGUAUUUUAAACGCAAUUAAAAAAAAAAAAAAAUAAUACCAUUGAGCAACGGAAUUCCGUCACUUGAAUCGAAUCUUAGAGCCACCGAUAUAUAUUUCUUUAUUUUAAAAAAAAAUUGUAUACUUUGUCUAAAAUACACGAAUUAAAAUUCCAGAGUUUUAUUACAAAAUUGUUAGUCCAUAGGGAUAUUUAAAACCUCGGCAUUUUUUACGAAGACAUGGAAUUUGAGCGGAAUCUCCGUUGUUAUGGACGGAGUUGAACAUUAAACUCCCCAAAGCCGCGGAUAUGACAGUUACACCGUGAUGGACAUACACAAAAUGUCAUUCUCCUGGCUCCAUCCGGAGGCUCCGUUGAGGUGUACGAAACUAAAAAAAAAACACACUGCUCCAGCAACAGAAAAAUGAAAUUUAUAAGGAAAUUCAACGAAAAUGUUAUCACUUGACAUUCGCCAAAAAAAAAAAAAACAACGUUAAUUCCGCGGUUUGAGAUCGCCUGGUAUAUACGAGGGAGCCGCUGAAAGUGUGCAAAAGUAGAGGGGAUAUGAUAAUGUGUAACGGGCAUGCAAUAUAGCGAAACUGUCUUUAUUUUCGGGGAAAAUUUUAACGAAAAACCGCGGGGAGGGGGGGGGAGGAAACCCUGACACACCGUCGUUAACCCAACUGUCCGGAAUAUAUUCAAUGUUUCAGGUCAUAAUGAUACAUAAUAUAAUAUAAAGGUUAGUUUUUCGUUGUAAUCGUAAAUUAUUGAUAUUCGACACGAGGUUAUAAUAUGCGCGCUUUGAAGUUGUAGUUUUGGAUUCGACUUCGUAAAGAGAAAAGUCGAGACGUUUUAUUAUUAAUUAGGUAUAUAUAUAUAUACACCGACGGGAAAUAAAUUAUAAAUUAUAAUACAAAAUAUAAUAUAUGUUUCUAUAAUUUCGUGAUUAAUAUUUUAGUAAUAACUUGACUAUUUUCUUUUUACUAACCCGAUUGAUAUAUAAAUAUAUAGGGUUACAUAGUUUAUAACCCAAUGUCAGCAACGAUAAUUUUUUUGAAACCAUUCUGAGCGGAAUAACGUUAAACACUUUGUUUGAACAAUUUAAAUCGCGUUAAUUUGUCACUGAAAAAUAAAUUAUAAUACAAGUUCAAUACAAUGUAAUUACAAUUACAAUAUUAAAUCAUAAAUUUGAAUUUAAGACACUUAAAAAAAAAAAAAAAAAAAAUAAAGACUAUAGGCUCGUUUUUUAUUUUUAUUUUAACAAAAUUGAGCAUCUUAUCUUGUAUCAAAUAUUCGAUCAUUUUUGAGAAGUCAAAAAAUCGCAUCUGCAUAAAAUUAAAAAUAUUCGAUCAUUUCAACGAGGUAUGUAUAUAACUUAAACCGUACCAUGGUAUCUAUAUAAUUGGACCACGUCUGAAGAAUACUUAUAAAAGUUUUCGGAGGAAAUUUAAUGUCACCAGGAAUACUUUUCGCUGAAUCACAAAAUAAAACAAAAUCGAUUUUAACAGAAGCCGCUGUACCGUAAAUAUAUCCGGUUUUCUUUCAUUAUUAAAAGAAGUAAAAAAUCAAAAAAAUCAAUGAGACAAAAUUGUCAAACAAAUCCAUUCCUGGUAUUGAUGAUCGCAAUAAGAUUUCUGGUUCAAAAUUAAAUUUUCAAUUAACCUUUUAUUGAUUUAUUUUUAUUAGGUAAUUUAAAGUUUGCAAAAAAAAAAAAAAAAAAAAAACUUGUACACAAAAAAAGCCAACGAGGAGACGGGGAGCACGGUUUCGGUGGCAAGACAAGGGGGGGAGGCUCAUUUCUCCAUGGUUGUCUUUCUGAUUUUUUGAUUAAAACUUGUAAAAAGAAAAAAAAACCAACAUUGAUUUAGCGAAAAUAUUUCCUCGUGGUAAUAACUAAUUAUUUUUUUAUUGAUUAUGAUAUAAUGGAUACAUACACGAAUUGCUAAAUUGUAUUGAAUUAUAUCUUUUUUUUAAAAAAUACAAAAAUGUUUAAUAUACGAUAAAAAUUAAAAAAACAGUUUUCAGGGUGACGAUUAAUGUUAUAAUGUUAGAUAGUGCGAUUUGACAGUGAUUUUAUGAAAUAUUAUAAAAAUUCUAGGUGUUUCAGGGUUUAUUAUUAUUUUUUUUUUUUUGUACAAAUUGUAAUUCUUACCGAGAAUUCAAUAAGUUUUAAUUUAUGUAUUAAGGGUUUCUUAAUUCUCCUGCCGCAUAAAUACGCCCGAUUAGAAUAUGUAUAUACAUUUUUUUCGUUUUGGAAAAGGAUUCAAAUUCGUACAUAUAUUUGCACAUUGGACUCGAAUCAUAGAGUCUGCGAAUUUUCAAAUUCCAAAUCCAAUGUACUCCUAUGGUUAAAAACCUUCAAUUUUCAAAAAAAAAAAAAAAAAUUAUAAAUGUUUAAAAUCUGACUGCACUACGAGACGGGAUAGCUGAAUCUGUAUUAAUCUGUAUUGAUCCGUAAUAAGCGUGUUUUCGGGGGAAAAAACAUGUCGCGCGCACUGUCCUUCGGGAGUUUUUUCGUCUUUUUCGAACCUUUUUUUAAAAUUCGAUCGGGCGCCCUUUCCGGAAUGAGCGAUUCAUACAACGGUUUUCGGGCCAAGCGCGAUGUCCGGCCGAAUAGUAAUAUUUUAUUUCCCAAACUAAAACCGAACACUAUAUAAUGCAACGUAUCGGUCGGUCAGUGUUCGGAGAAAACAAUAUUAUAAAAUGCCCGUUCGGCUGUGUAAUACUGCAGACGGACGUUUAUUAAUUUUGGAUUUUCGAAGUAUUCGCGUUCCGUAUCGUAUCGCAUCCGAACCCGAACGGUUCGGUCGCUCCGUGUAAAGGUGUAUUUAGGUGUGCGACAAUAGAAUUUCGCGAGUCGCGAGUCGCGCCGCGUAUUGUACAAAAAAACGAAUAAAAACAUUCCGCGCCAUCGGGUGUUAUUUACGAUAUUCUAUUCACUCUCUGUCCAUCUAUCUAUCCGCGUUUGUAUACGGCGUACACGAAUUAAAAAUUAACGAGCGCAGUGUGACGGCCUACGACUUUUUCUCCCUUUCCCGCGUUGUAGUGUUCUCGCGUUACGUUUGUCAUUUAUUCACGGUUUUCCUACCGCUCGCCUUUGCGUAACGCGAAAUAUAUAUAAAAAAAAAAAAAUAAUAAAAAAAAUAAGGCGAUUUUACGAGCUCGCGCGCGUCAAUCCGCGCCGUGCGCGCAUUAUUGCGUACAGUGCCGUUUAUGUCGGCCACGAGACGACAUUGCGAAACUGCAGACGCGCGCGAAUUUUUUUCUCCGUUUCACGACCGGGACAACGAGGUGCCGCCGUUCUCGAAAUUAUUCGCCGGGCCCGUUGUCCGCGACCGGGCGCGGGAAGUGCCGGUUAUUGUGUCGAUUAUUUUUUCGGGGAAAAAAAAAAAAAAAAAAAAAAAACCCAUUCGGGAACGGAAAAAAUGUACGGUACGGUCUAUUAUCGAUUUCCGAACGAAAAUUAAGUNUUCCUACCGCUCGCCUUUGCGUAACGCGAAAUAUAUAUAAAAAAAAAAAAAAAAAAAAAAAACCCAUUCGGGAACGGAAAAAAUGUACGGUACGGUCUAUUAUCGAUUUCCGAACGAAAAUUAAGUCGAAGUUUUUUUUUUUGUAAAAUCGAAAAUCGUGCAAACGUUUCGGAAAACCGCAUGGCCCGCUGAACGUACACGCUCAAACAGUUUUCCGAACAAACCAAAUCGCCCCUGAUAUAUUGUUACUGUCGUCGCCCAUUCGUAUCACUUAUACCAUAUAUAUAUAUAUCUAUUUCAUCUCCUCCGGCUUCAUUUGGAAAUGCCGCUUGUGCGCCACUCAAAUCGCAAUGCAAAAAACAUUCGUUUCAUCGGUGAUCAUUGUUUAAUAGAAAUUCGCAAUAAUUUUGUUUAGUAAUACGUUGAUUGUUUCAUUUCGAUAGUUUGAAUUUGAUUUUCGUAUUACUGUUAUAUAUAUUUACCAACUAUAAACAAUAUGGAUGUACAAUGUAUGAGAAGAGUACAAACUGUAUAGAUAUUAAAAUAUACUCUCAACAAAAUGAAUGAGAACACCACUGUACGAAGGUACAAAAGAAAAAGAAUAUUCCGAAGAUCUAUUUCAAUUAACAGUAUAUAUAAAUAUAGAGGUGCGCAUUUCUACUAUAUUUCUAAAAUAAACUAUGUAUAAUAUAUAUACAUAUAUAUAUAUAUGGUAGUAGCGAGGUAGGGGAGUGAAAAUUUAGUGUAAUGGCAGAGAGAGAGAAUUGCCGAGUAUAUGUAGAGAGUGGCCGUGUAGUGGCGAGUAGUGGCGGAGAGGUAAGUAAUAUCCGCACACCGGAGUAUAAUUUAAUUUAUUGCUAUACACGACGAUGAAUUAUAUUGUAUUGUCGAAAAACGAUUCUAAGCGAUGUUCGAGUAAAACGUUGGUUUUAUAUAUUUUAAUAUUUAUUAAUUUAUUUUAAAUUUGAAUUGUACAAAAUACAAUAAAUUGUUCGUGUAAUCGUGUUAUUAACAAAGCUGUACACAAAAUUCGAACUUCAAACGCUAGUGAUAAAAGUAAACUACUAAACUUCCAAAAGAAAAAAAAAACUCAAACAUUACAAAUAGCUGUUAAUCACUUUCAAAAUAGACAGAAUAUUUUCGAAACUAUUGUAUCACGUCCAGAAAGUAUAUGGCAAACGUUCAAGCCUUAACGAUAAUUUUCACAGAAUUAGAAAAAAAUAUAUAAUAAUAAUAACAAAAAUUCGUAACAUUUCGGUUUUUUCCUUCGUUUUCCCACCAUUAUUCCGAAAACUACGAGGAUAAUAAAAAAAAAAUGACACGUUUAACGCUCCAACUAUAUACGUAAUUCGCAAUUAGAAAUCGUCCAUAUCGAUAAAUGGACCAAGAGGAUUUCGGUUAGAAAAUUCACAAAAAAAAAAAAAAACAUUUUGUACGGGUUGAAACAGAAGACUUUCCACAGAUCGUGUUGAACUCCGUUCUACGAUAUUUUUAUUUUAAACCACAUAAUACCGUCUAGAAAAAGAUCAAUUUUUAAUUUUUUUUUACUCGAUAGCUUUUCUUUUUAUAUACCUGCCAUUAUAUUAUGGAAUCAAAUAAAAAAUUGUAGUACAAUGCGGUCCAUAAUAUAAUGUUGUUGCAGUAAUCGGCUAAAAGAAAAAAAAAAAAAGCAUUAGGAAACUACUAUGUUGACAACGAUUCUUCCUUAUAGCUAUAACUCGCAGAGUAAUUAUUUUCGUCCGUAAAACCGGCCGCAUCUCUUCCUCCUAAGCGGGUAUCGGGUAGUAAAUUCCGCGGUAAAGUGCUAUUCUAAAUGUUACGAAACCGGAGAUAAUUCGGUAUACCGAUAGGUACCGGGUUUCGGGAGAAAAAAAAAAAGCACACAUCACAGCGAUGUCAAUACGUUCCUCGUCACGCUCCGAAUUCAAAGCGAACGAAUAAUAACAUAAUAUAUUAUGCGUACGAGUAUUCAGUAUGAUAUACAAUGUUGUCAUUUCGGUGUAUUCAAAAACUUGACGCUGUAUUUAAAUGAGUAAAUCGCGUGAAUAGUUUUAUAAAUUCCCGCAUACUUACGUUCGUUUUUUCAGACGGCAGACAUUUUCGUUGACACUUUGUUGACAUCAAAAACGUUCGGCUGUUUCGAUAAUUAGCAUUAAUGCAGCGUUAUUUCUUAUAACAUGUUCCGAGAAACUUCAAGUGAAAACUAAUUAAUGAUCUUCUUUACAAUAUUUUCAAAAUUUACCCUUAUCCCGUGUACACCGUAAAAAAACACACUGUUCACUUCCAUAGUAAAUCGCAUAAUUACAUUUUUAAAUGUACCACAAGAAUCGCUUCCCUUCCCGAUAUUAUCUUAUCCGGUCUACAUUUUAAACUGCUAUGUAACAUCCGAUACGAGUGUAUCGAGCCUAUCGAUAUUUUUUUUAUGUAAAAUAGCCUUUUGUCAAAAAUACCGGAAAGCUAUUGAUCUUUGACGUUCAAAAGGUGUUACCACUUUUUCGGGUGCCCGAGAAAUAAUAAGGAGGUGAUGGGGGAAAUUCAAAAACGACCACAAACUUAAACGAUUUCAUUAAUAUUGUAAUAUGAUUGUCACAAAACCGAAAUCAAUUUCACGGAAAAAUUCUCCGAGGAAACCGUUACGCGAUCGUGAUAAAAAUAAAAUAAUCAUCCUGUAUACCUAUACGCGUUGUGAUUGGACGGAUGAAGCAAGUAUCAUCGUUCUACCGCGUUUGCGCACAUGACGUAUAAACGUAUAUUACGUCGCAAAUGUUCAGUGCUCCUGUAUAUUGUUUUCUUAUUAUAUUAUACUUGUAUAAGUAUACGUAUCCAUAAGAAUAUCGACGCGGAACCCGCUGUAUAAUAUUAUUGUUGCGUCAGGCGUGGAACAACUGUAAUAAUAACAAUGACAACGAUGGUAAUAACGAUCGCGGUGUACUUAGAUACGUCGUCGUAUACCUAUACUUACCGGUCGGAUAUUGCCGUAGAACACGUGAAUAAUUUUCCUAUAUAGCGGCGGAACGACUAUUAUUUUUUAUCAUAUAAAAAGCACCUAUUAUAACGAUAACGACUAUAAUACAGCUGUAUCACUGCGGUUUUAUUGCGAGGGAUGGGGUGAAGGGCGUGGAUCGUCUCUCCUCCCCCCACCAUAUACGUUUGUACGUAUAUCAGCCUAUCAAUGGGGAGGGGGUGAAAUUGGAUUGAUUAUUUGUACCAGUAUAUUUUGUAUACGUGUAUAGUUUUUUUUUUCUGACUUGCAGGCCACCUAAUACCUUUUGCCGCUCCUUCUCGAUUUCCGUCGUUCCCCGCAGGCUUCCGAAUCUUUGUUCGCUCUAUCAAGCCAUCUCUGGCAGGCUCUACCUCUUUGUUCCAUCCCGCUUGGUUUAUUGAUCAAGUUCUUAUGUAUUAUCUUAUCCUUUGUCCGCCAGACAGGGCUAAUCCAGACUCCCAGUUUCUAUGGUCUUUUGGCCUCGGAUAGUUUUAUGCGUUUUGUCUAUAUAUACUUUUCUGACCCCCAGUUUCGUACGGACCCUGCAUUAAUGUAAUGUAUAUUGUAUACACACAAUUUUAUGUCUGUUACCUGCUCUUCGGGACUUGUCGAAACCCGCCACUGAGAUGUACACGGACCGUGUUAUGCUUACCUCGAAAAUUGCUUACAAAAUACUCGAAAACACGUCAAACGGACAUACAUGUGUGUUGUGUCUCGUGGGGGUGAAUCGAAAAAGAAACAAUGUCUUUCGUCGAAUUUUUACGAUGACCUUUCCUUUGGUUUUACAGUGUACCUACCGCUUAAAUGCUCUUGCACACGCGGACAGAGAAAAUAAUGGAUUUUAAAUGUAAUAAAACAAAUGUCAUAAGCGUGUUCAUAGUCGCGAAAAGGGCAUCCGACUAUUUUAUUUAUUUUUGUUCAAGCGGUUAAAGACAUUAUUCUUUCAUUUUCGGCGCGCAAUCGAAAUCGGCGGUUCCUAUCGACCGAUUCCUAAUAUGUAUCCGUUCGCUAUUUCAAACUUGAAACGUGAGCACAAUAUACGUAUAUGUAUAAAUUGUUUUUUUUUUUUUAAAACGUAUAUAUUAAUCGGCAACGAGUUUGAGAGUUUGAGAGUUAUUUAUGUCUGUAGUUUAUUUCAAAACCUUUUAAUUGCACGCGAAGGCGUCCGGACUUUAAAGGGAGAGGGCAAACUAAAGAAUUUUCAGACGUUUCGCAACUCUUAUGAUACUGCUUGAACAAAUCGGCAAAUUCAUGUAUUCUUUCAAAAAAAAAAUAAAAAAUAAAAAAAAUAUGAAAAAUCCAUCUUAGUAAAACUAUAAUGGCUUUUUCGGUACAUUCCGAAUAAAAACAAAUUCGUAUUCAUAAAGUCGAGUUAUUUAUAUAAUAUAUGUAUUAGUAAGUAAACUUGCACCGUAAAUGUAUUUCGACCGGGGGUUUAAUGCGAACACAAGAAAUAUAAUAUUUAAAUAUUUAGAAUCGGCCCGUGUACUUAUUAAAAAAACAAAACGUUCAAAACGGCAAUAUUAAAAGCUCGACGACAAAAAUAAAUAACAAUGCAAUAUUUUACAUAAUAUUUUAGUUGCGAAAGUUUCAAACAUGCGCGAAGCCUGCAGAUUGCAUAAAAGAAAAUUAUACUUGGGUAGUAAUAUUAUUUUCGCGGGCGAAUCGAAUCGUAAACGUUCCCGUGAAACGUGACGAGACGCCCGUCUCGAGGUUCCGAACCGCGGGGAUAAAAGCUUUGUACUGUGGUGUCUGAACAAACGGAAAAAAAAAAAAAAAACGCCGAAAUCGAAACGGGUAAAAACCGACGUCUGACACCCGGCCAUCGCGCUUGCGUAUCACAAAGCUGCGAUCAUACCUAUAGAUUUAGCCACGGUUGGGCGAGUGCGAGCGUCUGCAGCGUUGCCCUGAAGAAAAAAUUCGUAAAUUUCCCCGUCACAAUACACUAUUUUCGCUGCGGUCGAAUGUUGUUUUGUUUUUAUCGCAAUAGAUAACAACGUUGUUGUUGUUGUUUUUCUUUUGUCGUCUCGAACCGCGACGUUCCCGCGGUAAUACGCCGAAAACAAACUCCCCGCGCGGCGCGAACCGCUCUUUUUAUUAUCGCGUGAUAAUAAUGUUGCGAUUAUCAUGAUAAUAAACGGCGACGAUUACGGCGUCGGAUCGCCGCCGCGGAAUCGUUUGUUAUUAUUAUAUGCGCGCACGUUGUCGUCGUCGUCGUCGUCGCCGUCGUUCAUCGGGACAAUAAAACGCACGGUAAUUACCCGGUAAAUAGCACGUGGGACGUUUAGACGUGGCGCGUUGUGCGUCGCCGCCGCCGUCAUGACUCACCGCCCCCGCACCCGCGGCGGGUUACCGGGGUCGAUUUUCGGGAGGGAGGGGGGGGGUCGGAAAAACAAAAGGCCAAAAAAAUAAAUAAAUAAAUAAAUAUGAAAGAAAAAAAAAAAAAUAGAAGAAGGGUGAAAUCCGUUUGCGGAACGGUAUAACUACCGUUGCGCACGCCAUCGUAAUAUUCCAUGGCCGAACGGUUUCGCGUUGUCCGCGCACGUCCAUGUUGUACACACAAACACCGUGAACUACGCAAACGGAAUGUCACCGUCGUCGUUUCCGCGCACGCACGUAAUGCGUUCGCGUUACACGUGAUAAUAAUAAUUGUCGUUAUUGAAAAGGGCUCCGGAGCAGGUUGCUGUUUGACAAUCAAAACGUAAUACUCGUUUUUAUUGUGCGAUGCGCAUUGUUACAACGAGGCGUGUAACAGGGGCGGUCAUUUGAAAACAACGUUGAAACAAUAAAGUGUAGAUAAUUCCGUGAUCGCUGAAAAAAAAAAAAAAAAAAGAAAGAAACGGAAUUUACUAAAAUUUCUCCCGAAAAAAUGAAAUUUCACCGUUCGUACACGCAUAUCGUCGUAUUGAACGAUUUUAAAAACAAAUCGACUUUAGCAGCGAAGAAACAGAAAUUAGUACUUUUAUUUUCACCGCUAACUGCGAUGUAUCUAAUCAAUCUAAAACGACGUCUUGUACUUUAGAUUCUGAGCGGUUGGUUUCUUUUUUCUGUGGACUAAUUUAUUACCAGACAUUUUGUGCCGAUGUUCAAGUGUAGCCCUAUUCUUAAAGGGGACUUUGACUGGGGUGGUACUUUGAGCAGGUCAUUUAUUUAUUUUCCCAAGGGUUUUCCUAAUAAAUGUGAAAAACCGGGAAAAAACGUAGACAAGAUAGGAAAAAUUACGGAAAUAAUGCUUUUAUUAUUAUUUUCAAUUUCGUUUUUUUAUUGUAAUAGUGAAAAAUAUUCGUAGAGACUUGACAUUUGGCCAGAAAACUUAUAUUUGUUUUUUUUAGGCGCGGUAACAUUUUCAAAUCAUUUAAACUAUUUCUAAGCUGUUGAUGGACAUUUUAAUUUUGAGAGGUUUUUUACGUAGUUUUGUAUUCGGUAGGUACUGUAUGUGGAUAAAAUUUUUAAAUUUAACAGAAAUAUUUGAAAAUUUAACAGGAGGUUCAUUAGAAGUCGUAUAAGGAACUUAAGUACCAAAUUUUGACGAAAAUAUUAAAUAUUGUCUUUCAAAACAUGCAUAUGCAUAAUUGAACCACGCUCAGAAUCGUUAUUCGAUAAUAAAUAUUAAUUAUUGUGUAUAGAAUGUAUACAUUAAAUUCCCAUCUAUAUCCCAUACCUUCCCAACUUCUCACGUACAACAGCGGCCCACCGAUCGUACGAAAUAGGUCCGACUUUUUUAAAUUACAACAUUUUAGAAGUCAAGAAACACAUAACAUUUACAGUUUUGAGUUAACUUUCCACGGAUCGUUCGACGCGACGCGAUUUCUCGUUUAUUAUUAGGGAUGAGAAGUUUUAGGCUAUUAAAAAUACGCACUUUUAUAUCUAUGUCUUCUAAUUACAAAUGGGCGAGCUGAAAAAUUAUUCCAUAACUUAGCGAGUUCAUAUUUGUGGUUUUUUUUUGCAAAUGUUUGUAUAUUCAGUGAAUUUGCACUUAUUAUUAAUGAAUUUUACCCCAUAAAACAAUAAUUGAACACAAAGCCCGUAUAGUUUCAAUAAUACAGCGUUAAAAAUCUAAAAUGCAAAAUGAAAUAUAAUACAAUAGGAUUUUACUUUAUUAUUUAAUUUUCGUACGCGUACUUUUUGACAUGUUUUCGUAAUUUUUUUAUUUUUUCUUUCUUUUUCGUGCGCGUAUUUUGUCAAUUCUUCGUCCUCCCCGGUGUAACUUCUCGUCCGCACCACUCGUGAUAUUACAACACCGCAAUGGACGGGCGCACCCUGCGCACGAUAACGACGCCCAUCGGUGUACAUUAUAAUACCGCGUACCCGCGCGUCGCACGGUUUUUUUUAAAAACCGCAACGUCGCGACGAACUCCCUGCCGAGUGGGUCGCACUAAUGAGUAGUUUCGCGCGCCCGAUCCCGACGUCUCUCGAACGCCCACACACCGUUCCCCGCGUAAAAACGUCGCCGCCGCGGCGGCCGUCUCGAGAGUGGCCGCGCCACUCGUAACUCCUUUUUACGCUUGGUUUUUUAUUUUUUCUCCCCGCAAAACACCGACGCGUGUCUGCCCGUCGCGCAUGCAGUCCGAAAGGCAUAAUGUCGUUACGUGUUAUUCUAUACGCACGGCACGUUAUUCCCCGGGGACCGGGGUCGAACCGCCGCCGAUAUCGCGCGUGUGCACACGCGGUCGUCAAGACGCGAUAGAAACGCACGGUGGAGGGGUGGGUGGGUUGACGGGGGGCGGCGAAAGCGACGACGUGUUGUUUGUCGCGCACUCGGGCGCGUUUCACGCGGGGAAACCGCGCGACGAGCCGUGACGUUAUUGUGCGCCGCGCAGGGGUGUGCCCGGCGGCGGCACGCUCGCCCGUUGGCCUACUGGCGUUUUUCAAAACGAUUUUUUUUUUUCUCCCCGGCGUGGUUCGCUUUUCUACGCGUACGUCCGUAAAGUCACCAAUUAUUCUCCGCGGAACCUGUCAAAAGGUGUGGUUGUUUUCGUUUCGUUUCGUUUUUUUUUUUUUUUUUCGUUUUUGAUUUCAUCGCGAUCCGGCCGGUUUCUCGGAGCGUUUCGCGCGAACCGAAGCGCCGCGGCGGUUUUCGCAAACGGUCGACAUCAUUCGUGUUCGCCGAUGUCUGGUUCGACCACGCGGUUUUUCAAACGUUUUUAUCCCCGGCAGCGGCGUGGACGAGCCCGGUAAACGCGACUCGGAAAAGUCGAGUACGGGGNNGGGGGGGGGGGGGGGGCUCGGUCGCCGUUCGGAAACAAGAGUUUGAUUUACGCUCGUUUACGGCAGGGUGCAGUUUUGAAAAUAUACUGCAAAUCAAAUCGUUAAACGGUUCAACAAUAUACGAGCGGAAAAAUAGAUUUUACACGAACUCGUUGUGCACCGAGGUUAAAAAAAAACAAAUUACCAUACAAUAAAAUAUUUUGAGUAAAAAACGAAUUGUCGGGAAAUGUUAAGAACAUUGCGAGUACGCGUUCUGUAUAAUAUUCGUCCGUAUUUAAAACACGAAAAAAUGAAAAUACAUUGAAAAACCGUAAAAUCAUUCGAAAAGUGAAAAGAAAACCGUCGAACAAUGUAGAAUACAAAUUUCACUUUUUAAGUAUCUUUUACACGAAUCGCAAAUUAUGUACUUGGAUUGCUCGAGAGCAGAAAAAAAAACGGUCUUAGCAUUGAAUACAAAAGUAAUAAUACAAUUGAAUGAUCCCACUGUAUAAUUAUUAUUACAUAGGUAUAAAAAUGAAAUAAAUCAAAGAAUACGCUCGAGUGGAAAGUUUUCGAACUUUUUCCGCAGGCCCUCGCGAUCGAAUCCCGGGGCAAGGGCUGCAGUCAAACAAUGUUUUUUUAUUAUUGUUAUUUAUUUAUUUUUUUUUAUUACACAACAUAAUAUUAUGCACCUGUUUAUAAUAUCGUGUACAAAACACCGUGUCUAACCGUAUUGAUUAUUAUCUGUGUCGGGAAUUCAGUCGGAACGAAAACGGCCGAGUGUAAUAAUAAUAAUAAUAAUUAUAUACACUCCCGAUAAAUGUGUGGGCUUCUUCGUGUUUUAACAGAUCGUUUUUCUCCUACGAUUUUAACCGGUUUUAGAAAUUGUAUUAAUUAGUAUUGGGAGAAAAAUUAAAAAGAUUUUUUUUUUUUUUUAACAUUUACAAUCCGAUUAUUAUAAUGAGCAAAUUCGACAGAAAGGUCCAGGAAGAAAAGUAUGAUCGAGGCAACCACCCGUUGACGGUAUCCCUAAAAAGAGUUUUAAAAGACAGAUAUAAAAAAAAUAGAUCAAAUCUAGAAAUUUUAUAGUUCUCAGUCGUCCGUUCCGGUAAAAAUUCUUUCUUUUCCACCACCGGUAUUUUACUCGGUUUUUAGUAUACACCCGCGGCUUCGGUUCGAAUGAUAUUUUAUGUUAUUUCCGGACUCGAUUCGACGACGUUUGAAAUAUUAGUCCGAGACUCGAUCGGCAAUGUUGUCGGCCCGUAUAGCUUGAUAAACGAAUAUUUAUUAACAUUGUCUUUGUUUUUCUGUUACAGAUAUUUUUGACGAAAGAGCCGCCUUGAUCGGUAAGCGUGCAGCGUUAUUUCAGAAUCAGUUGCGGAUAAUAAAAAACUAAUUAAAAACAAAAAUGUCCUCUCAGAAUGUCGCCGUAGUGAAUUUAACGUAAUUCGACAUAUACACACGAGCGUAAAAACUUCACGGUGAACCGGAUCAACGGGUCGCUAAUUAGGUAAUUCCGUCUCGUUGUCCUACGGACAUUGAACACGACAAUUGGCAAACCGCACGACACGAUGGUUCUGAGGCACGGAUUUUGCCGUCAAUGUUCCGAAGUGCUGCUCGUCGUCUGCACAAUUACAAUGGCCAUAACAGGUGAGUGAAUUCGGUUUCAUUAUAAUAUUUAUAAUAGUUACUGUUAAAUGGUUAUUGGGC
rnacentral:lncRNA from 1 species